CCUACGGGAGGCUGCAGUGGGGAAUAUUGCACAAUGGGCGCAAGCCUGAUGCAGCCAUGCCGCGUGUGUGAAGAAGGCCUUCGGGUUGUAAAGCACUUUCAGCGGGGAGGAAGGCGUUAAGGUUAAUAACCUUGUCGAUUGACGUUACCCGCAGAAGAAGCACCGGCUAACUCCGUGCCAGCAGCCGCGGUAAUACGGAGGGUGCAAGCGUUAAUCGGAAUUACUGGGCGUAAAGCGCACGCAGGCGGUCUGUCAAGUCGGAUGUGAAACCCCCGGGCUCAACCUGGGAACUGCAUUCGAAACUGGCAGGCUAGAGUCUUGUAGAGGGGGGUAGAAUUCCAGGUGUAGCGGUGAAAUGCGUAGAGAUCUGGAGGAAUACCGGUGGCGAAGGCGGCCCCCUGGACAAAGACUGACGCUCAGGUGCGAAAGCGUGGGGAGCAAACAGGAUUAGAUACCCUAGUAGUC
rnacentral:rRNA from 1 species